AUUGAACGCUGGCGGCAGGCCUAACACAUGCAAGUCGAGCGAUGAAGGGAGCUUGCUCCUGGAUUCAGCGGCGGACGGGUGAGUAAUGCCUAGGAAUCUGCCUGGUAGUGGGGGAUAACGUCCGGAAACGGGCGCUAAUACCGCAUACGUCCUGAGGGAGAAAGUGGGGGAUCUUCGGACCUCACGCUAUCAGAUGAGCCUAGGUCGGAUUAGCUAGUUGGUGGGGUAAAGGCCUACCAAGGCGACGAUCCGUAACUGGUCUGAGAGGAUGAUCAGUCACACUGGAACUGAGACACGGUCCAGACUCCUACGGGAGGCAGCAGUGGGGAAUAUUGGACAAUGGGCGAAAGCCUGAUCCAGCCAUGCCGCGUGUGUGAAGAAGGUCUUCGGAUUGUAAAGCACUUUAAGUUGGGAGGAAGGGCAGUAAGUUAAUACCUUGCUGUUUUGACGUUACCAACAGAAUAAGCACCGGCUAACUUCGUG
rnacentral:rRNA from 1 species